AGGUUGUUGGUGCAAUGGUUAGCAUAAGUGACUCCAAAUCUCUUGAUAAGGGUUCGAAUCCUUUACAACCUG
rnacentral:tRNA from 2 species